rnacentral:rRNA from 1 species
AUUGAACGCUGGCGGCAGGCCUAACACAUGCAAGUCGAGCGGUAGAGAGGUGCUUGCAUCUCUUGAGAGCGGCGGACGGGUGAGUAAUGCCUAGGAAUCUGCCUAGUGGUGGGGGAUAACGUUCGGAAACGGACGCUAAUACCGCAUACGUCCUACGGGAGAAAGCGGGGGAUCUUCGGACCUCGCGCCAUUAGAUGAGCCUAGGUCGGAUUAGCUAGUUGGUGAGGUAAUGGCUCACCAAGGCGACGAUCCGUAACUGGUCUGAGAGGAUGAUCAGUCACACUGGAACUGAGACACGGUCCAGACUCCUACGGGAGGCAGCAGUGGGGAUAUUAGGACAAUGGGCGAAAGCCUGAUCCAGCCAUGCCGCGUGUGUGAAGAAGGUCUUCGGAUUGU